rnacentral:rRNA from 1 species
CACGUGUGUGAAGAAGGCCUUCGCGUUGUAAUUGCACUUUUGUCAGGAACGAAACGGUGGGGGCUAAUACCUUCUGCUAAUGACGGUACCUGAAGAAUAAGCACCGGCUAACUACGUGCCAGCAGCCGCGGUAAUACGUAGGGUGCGAGCGUUAAUCGGAAUUACUGGGCGUAAAGCGUGCGCAGGCGGUUGUGCAAGACAGAUGUGAAAUCCCCGGGCUUAACCUGGGAAUUGCAUUUGUGACUGCACGGCUAGAGUGUGUCAGAGGGGGGUAGAAUUCCACGUGUAGCAGUGAAAUGCGUAGAUAUGUGGAGGAAUACCGAUGGCGAAGGCAGACCCCUGGGAUAACACUGACGCUCAUGCACGAAAGCGUGGGGAGCAAACAGGAUUAGAUACCCUGGUAGUCCACGCCCUAAACGAUGUCUACUAGUUGUCGGGUCUUAAUUGACUUGGUAACGCAGCUAACGCGUGAAGUAGACCGCCUGGGGAGUACGGUCGCAAGAUUAAAACUCAAAGGAAUUGACGGGGACCCGCACAAGCGGUGGAUGAUGUGGAUUAAUUCGAUGCAACGCGAAGGACCUUAGCUACCCUUGACAUGUACGGAAGCCCGCUGAGAGGUGGGGGUGCUCGAAAGAG